GAUGAAGAACGUAGCGAAAUGCGAUAAGUAAUGUGAAUUGCAGAAUUCAGUGAAUCAUCGAAUCUUUGAACUCACAUUGCGCCCGCCAGCAUUCUGGCGGGCAUGCCUGUUCGAGCGUCAUUUCAACCCUCGAGCCCCCCCGGGGGCCUCGGUGUUGGGGGACGGCACACCAGCCGCCCCCGAAAUGCAGUGGCGACCCCGCCGCAGCCUCCCCUGCGUAGUAGCACACACCUCGCACCGGAGCGCGGAGGCGGUCACGCCGUAAAACGCCCAACUUUCUUAGAGUUGACCUCGGAUCAGGUAGGAAUACCCGCUGAACUUAAGCAUAUCAAUAAGCGGAGGA
rnacentral:misc_RNA from 1 species